GCCCCUCUCUCACUCUCUCUCUCUCUCUUCAAACCCUUAUUUUGAACUUGAGGGAAACUGAUCGACUCUCUCUCUCUCUAAACCCUAAUCUCACUCUGAGAGAUUAAUCUCAGUGAUUUCGAUUCAUCUCAGAGAGAGGGUGAGAGAUUCAUCUCAAAGCGAUUUCGAGUUCGAUUUCGAGGUUCUGUCUCUCGAUUCUGAAGUUUUGUCGUUCUCGAUUUUGAAGCUCCACCGCCACCACCACCUGCACCGGCGAGAGCGAGCACUGUCAUCUACUAGGAGUUCUGAGGCUGAGGAGGACUUGGCUGCUCUGGAGAAGAACUAUGAGGAAGUUAGGACUCGGUCUGCUAAAAGAGAAGAUGAUGAUGGUGAUGAGUACUAGGCUUAUUGCUUGUUUGAAUUGAAACCAAUGGACUCAAUUGGUUUACAAUUUGGAUUGCAAUUUGCCUUUUAGAUUUAUGUUUUUGGUGGUUUGUGUUUGCGUUAUGUUUUUUAAUAAUCUGUGUUUCUUUGGUGUUCUGAACUAAUGAUGAUAGUUAUGAUAUUCCUAUGGUUGUUUGUUUGUUGAAUGAAAAUUUAUGUGGAAGUUUUGUUGAAAUUUAUGAUAAUCUCCUUGUUGAAUUUGUUAUUUGA